CCUCUCGAUGUUGUCGCUCUGUGUUGGAUUAAAGUUGCUACAGAACGUGAGUCAGCUGAGACCUCCUUCCUUUGGGAGAGCAUGCCCCCACACUUCUUUAUAGCAAGUCUCUCACGUGUACAUACAUCUUUGAUGGCUUCACAGGCACUUUCCCACUUCUGAUACCAAUGUAACAAAUUUGGGGGUAGCUCCAACUGGGACUCGAACCCCGGUCCAGUGACUAGCAAGCCAACCUUAUCCAUUACACCAAAGAUCAGCAGGUGUUUCCCCGAGAUACAGAUCUAGGAUCAGCUUCCCCUCCCCAAACCUAACAAGGACCAUUAGCGGGGGGGAAUUCAAACCUGAUCCAAAGCCAGGGUCUAUUUGGGGAACUUGUCCCCUCCCCCACAACACGACACGUGGAUGCGGCUUCCUCAGUUCACCAUGCUCAUAAAGAAAACAGCAGUGUAUUUCAGCUGCAAGCCUGGGAAAGAACUGAGAAAACGUACUAAAGAGUCAAGACAGACACCAGAAAGAGGCCCAAGAAGACUUGGACGCAGGAACAGAGGACAGCGAGGGAUGUUCAGAACUCACUCAGUCCGCGGUGGUGUCCUCUUUUCAUGAACCUCAUCACACUGUGUAUCAGAGUCAACAUGUCAGAGACCAUCCUCCUCACAGUGAUGUCACUCAACAAAGACAUGGACGAAAGAUGGAUCGUAAUGAUGAGAGAAUCAAAAGAGCUUUAAGACGCCGCCCUUAUGUGUUGAAACCAGUUAGGGUGAACACCCCUGAUUCCGUGUUGUGGCCAACCGGCAAGGUGCACAGAAGGCCAAAGCCUUCUGGAAGGGUGACUCGGCUGAUAGAGAGAGAAUAUCAUGACGUGAUCUCAUCCUCCAGUUCUGAUGACUUUUCAAUCUACUCCUUCACUGACUGUGAAUCUGAGUGUGAUGAUGAGGAUCAUGAAAGGAGGACACCAAAGCUGAAAGUUGAGAAUGGAAAGAUGACAAAGCUUGAUGUGAGGGAUAUGGACGAGGAUGAUGAUCUGUCUCUCCACUCCUUCGAUGAGUCAGACUUCCUGAGCCCAGGGGAGGUCUCAGGUCCUGUUUCUGUCAAGAAUGGCCUCUCUCCUCUUGUAACCUCAGCACACCGGACACUGGCUGAAGCCCUACAGGCCCUGCCCUCUGCUGUAGGCUCUCCCUACCCAGUAAAUGUUCCAAGGCCUCGGCCUCUCAACCCUGUCAUUAUCGCUCCGCUCCAAACAGAGAACUUCCCAUACCGCCACAGCCCUCGCCUGGCUCCCAUCACCAAUGUGAGCGAGACCGGCAGGAAGCUGCUCCAGGAAAUGGCUGGAGUGGCCCCACAGGUUUCUUCAGUGGCUGCUGCCCAAACUGAGAUGUUCAAAGACAUAAUGGCCAACUAUUACUUCUACCACACACACACACGCACACACACACACACACACACACACACACACACACACACACACACACACACACACACACACACACACACACACACACACACACACACACACACACACACACACACACACACACACACACACACACACACAUAGAUUUUGAGUAUUGGUUAUUCCUACAACACACACAAACGUAAUUUCAGAGACAGGAACUAUGAUUAGCUAAAUACAUAUUUUGGUCUCAUUCUUAUAUUUUGAGACAUGCAGCAUUAUUUUUUUUAUUUUUUUAUGAUAUUGAUCCCUAUACAGCCUAUGAUAAUGAGUUGGAUUUACAUGCUUAGGCUUGGAAAUAUAGCCAGGAGAAGCAGGGUCAACACCUCUACUCAUGCCAUAAGUGCCUUGACAUCUUUAGUAACCACAGAGAGAUAAGACCUCUGUCUCCACAGUCUCAUGCAAAGGACAGCACCAACCUUAGGGCAGUGUCACUGGUAUUGGGGUCUUCGGUCUCCUUUGGCCAAAGUGAAGAGUUGAGGGCCCCUUACUGGUCUCCUUGCAAUAUCUGGUCUCCCACACAGAGAUGGAAAUCUACACCUGUUAAGACCUUGGAGGAUAUGGCUUCAGAUGAAAGACAGCAGAGAGAUGCAGAACGUAAAAGCUUCAAACACUGUGAUAUGCAAAUGUAGGACCAUUGUACACUGAAGUGAAGCAUGCAUCUGGUCUGAAGCAUGUCAAAAGAGUAGAAAUGAACUGGGACUGGAGGAAUACAUCACAUUUAAACUAAAUUAGCUUGUAUCUGAUUUAGCUCCACUCAUCUGUACUUGAAUUGUGCUGUUUGAAACGUGCGUUUCCAAUAAA